UACGUAGGGUGCAAGCGUUAAUCGGAAUUACUGGGCGUAAAGGGCUCGUAGGCGGCCAACUAAGUCGGAUGUGAAAUCCCCAGGCUCAACUUGGGAACUGCAUCCGAUACUGGAUGGCUUGAAUCCGGGAGAGGGAUGCAGAAUUCCAGGUGUAGCGGUGAAAUGCGUAGAUAUCUGGAGGAAUACCGGUGGCGAAGGCGGCAUCCUGGACCGGCAUUGACGCUCAUGCACGAAAGCGUGGGGAGCAAACAGG
rnacentral:rRNA from 1 species